UACGGGGGGGGCAAGCGUUGUUCGGAAUUACUGGGCGUAAAGGGCGCGUAGGCGGCCAACUAAGUCGGACGUGAAAUCCCCAGGCUCAACCUGGGAACUGCGUCCGAUACUGGAUGGCUUGAAUUCGGGAGAGGGAUGCAGAAUUCCAGGUGUAGCGGUGAAAUGCGUAGAUAUCUGGAGGAAUACCGGUGGCGAAGGCGGCAUCCUGGACCGACAUUGACGCUGAUGAGCGAAAGCCAGGGGAGCAAACGGG
rnacentral:rRNA from 1 species